UUUAAUUUCAGGUGGGUGAAGUCUGCGUUCAGCAGAGGAGAAGAAAAGCACCUUUGGUUAUUUAAACUCUGCACCACCAGAGGAGGAGCCCUAAGACCACAGAUUGUUUCAGGAUCAGUUUGCUGAUGUUGGACGCAAAUGUCUGAGAGGAGGAGUCAAUGCAAAAACCCAGAGAGCUUCUUCAUAUCUGAGCGCAGGGAUGAUGACAGAGAAAAGCGGACUCAUCUCAACAUGAUGGACUGUAGGAUAAGACUGCUGUUUUUAACUCUCUGCUUGGCAGGUGUUAAAGGUCAGACUCUGACAGAAUCUGAACCAGCAGUUAAACAACCUGGUGAGUCUCACAGAUUGACCUGUACAACAUCUGGAUUCACACUCAGCAGCUACUGGAUUCACUGGAUCAGACAGGCUCCUGGAAAAGGCCUGGAGUGGAUUGCUGCUGAUACUGGUAGCACCAAGUACUAUUCACAGUCAGUCCGAGGCAGGUUUACCAUCUCCAGAGACAACAGCAGAGAGCAGCUGUAUCUGCAGAUGGACAGCCUGAAGACUGAAGAUUCUGCUGUUUAUUAUUGUGCUCGACACACACACAGUGACAGAAGUUGCUAAGCAGCUGUACAAAAUCCUGAUGAUU